AGAGUUUGAUCCUGGCUCAGAACGAACGCUGGCGGCGUGCUUAACACAUGCAAGUCGAGUGCGCGUCCGUAGCAAUACGGAUGGNNCACGGCGCACGGGUGCGUAACACGUGGGCAUCUGCCCUUCGAUGGGGAAUAACUCCGGGAAACCGAAGCUAAUUCCGCAUAACAUUCCUUGGACCUCGGUUCGAGGACUCAAAGCCGUAAGGCGUCGAAGGAGGAGCCCGCGCCCGAUUAGCUAGUUGGUGAGGUAACGGCUCACCAAGGCAAUGAUCGGUAGCUGGUCUGAGAGGAUGGCCAGCCACACUGGAACUGAGACACGGUCCAGACUCCUACGGGAGGCAGCAGUGGGGAAUCUUGCACAAUGGGCGAAAGCCUGAUGCAGCGACGCCGCGUGGGGGAUGAAGCUUUUCGGAGUGUAAACCCCUUUCGACUGGGACGAAUGCCUCGCAAGAGGAGUGACGGUACCAGUAUAAGAAGCCCCGGCUAACUACGUGCCAGCAGCCGCGGUAAGACGUAGGGGGCCAGCGUUGUUCGGAAUUACUGGGUGUAAAGGGUUCGUAGGCGGUGUGGCAAGUCGGGAGUGAAAUCUCUGGGCUCAACCCAGAGACUGCUUCCGAAACUGCUGUGCUUGAGUGUGAGAGAGGCUCGUGGAAUUGCAGGUGUAGCGGUGAAAUGCGUAGAUAUCUGCAGGAACACCCGUGGCGAAAGCGGCGAGCUGGAUCACUACUGACGCUGAGGAACGAAAGCUAGGGGAGCAAACAGGAUUAGAUACCCUAGUAGUCC
rnacentral:rRNA from 1 species